UGAGAGUGGCCUGGGCGUCCUCCCACCACAGCCGCUGUGCGCAGCGGAGCAGAGGGAAGGAGAACCCGGGCAGAGCUGCACACCUGCUGCGGGAGGGGCUGCGUCUCGCACUUCUUCUGUCCGGGGAGGCGCCUUGCUCUGACCUUCCUCCUCAAAACACGGGCGCGGUGGCUCACGCCUGUAAUCCCAGCCCUUUGGGAGGCCGAGGUGGGUGGAUCACGAGGUCAGGAGAUCGAGACCAUCCUGGCGAACACGGUGAAACCCCGUCUCUACUGAAAAUACAAACAAUUAGCCGGGCGUGGUGGCGGGAGCCUGUAGUCCCAGCUCCUCGGGAGGCUGAGGAAGGAAAAUGGCCGAACCCGGGAGGCGGAGCUUGCAGUGAGCCGAGAUCGCGCCACUGCAGUCCGGCCUGGGCAAAAUAGCGAGACUCCGCCUCAAAAACAAAACAAAACAAAAAAACACGCAAGUGGAAUUCCAGAAAAGUCACCACGUCUGCACAAUGAGAAGUCCAGGGUCUCCUGCCAUUGUCAACAUCUGCUGGCCUCUCAGUUUCGCUGACUCGCCCCUGGUGCCGGUGUGAGCAGACAGGCUCCAGAGCUGGAGCAAGAUGUCCAUGGGACAGUCACGGAGUGACCUGGGCUGUUUCCACAUGACCAAGCAGAGAUUUCCCAUGAACCAGGAGACCUGAACCACGUUGCUGGAACCAGCAUGUAACGAAGGAGCCUGUAGUGAGUGAGCUUCCAACCACAGAGGGGAGGCUGGAGCUGAGAGGAACUGGGAGCCAUGGCGCCCCCAGCAGACCCACCAGUUACGGAAUUGUGCAGUGAGAGGCUCCUGAGUGGGCCUGCAGAACUCACCCGUGACCUCCUGAGGGCCACAAGGACGUGCCACUGAUGGAGAGACUCAACAGGAUUAGGUGCGGGAGAGAUUCAACAGGAUUAGGUGCGGUAGAGACGCGUGUCACUGUCCACUCCGCUGCUCUCCAUCUCAGCACACCCAGAAGGGGAAACACAAAUGCUGACCUCAAGGAGAAGCUGAAGCCAAGAGUAUUAAUCACAGUGGUGAAGAUAAGAAAGAUGACCCCAAGUAAGAAAGCCCAGAAAGGCACUUGCUGUUGACUCCCUCAGAAAGAACACCACGAAAGACCAUGGAUCAUGUAAAUAAGAAGAAGAAAGAAAGUAAGGAAGAAACACCAUACCUUGUUGAGAGCUGUAAAUGGUAUGAUAUUUUACUCCAUGUGGAGCUAACAAACUAGCCUGUCACAACUUCAAGGAUGCUGUCGGAAGACACAAGAUUCCUGGGUCAGAGCCAAAGGACCGUAUCAACGAUGGCAGUGCCUGGGCAUCCCACAUGUGUGUUUAUUCUCCUUGCCCAGAAAAAUGGUGUGGAACGCCCUCGAUGAAACGUGUACACAGUGGGUUGCAUGACAGGAGAAAAUCUCAGAGACUUAGGAACCCAAAUAUGUUAUUGUGAGCAGUGAGCAUUGCUGCCCUUGGCUCCCCGGGAAGACAACAUCUGUAUCUUCCAACAGUGUUAACUGCACAGACAUCCUUGAAAAGAUAGUCCAGAACAAAGGGUGGUUAGUGCCUUGCUGGCAAAAUGUGAUAAAAAUAUGACACUCUUUGAAAUUAUCGUCCAAUGUGUCUUUCCCAUAUGAAAUAGACAACACUUUAAACACAACUUUAAUUAAAUUUUUAUACAUUCCAAUUUGGGAAGCAGUGAUAAUUUAAAUUAUGACAAAAUUCACUGGAUGGCAGUGUCAGGGAGAGAAUGGGGAGGCCAUGCUGAGAAAAUGUUUAUACGUGCAAAGGAAGAGAAUUGCGUAGGACCUCAUAAACAGCUUUUGACUUUGCCAGUGACAAACUCAAGUGUGCUACGGAAGAGUCAGCUCCUGCAACCUGGAGCGGAGGCAAGGGGUCCGUCCUCAGUAAGUGUGGUGGGUCAAAUGGUGCCCCCAAAAACCUCAGAAUGUGACUGUGCUUGAAAUAAGAGUCUUUGCAGAGACAAAGAAGGAGACACAGAGAGACAAAGAGACGAAGAGAGGAGGGUGAUGUGAAGAUGGACGCAGAGAUCAAAUCCAUGAAGCUAAGGAAUUCCAGGAAGCGGAGAGAGCUGGGACAGAGAUAUGGAACAGACCCUCUCUCUGAGCUUCCAGAAGGUGUGAUUUUGGACUUCUCAUCCGCAGCUCUGGGAGAGAAUAAAUUUCUGUUGUUUUAAGCCACCUAAGCCACCCAGGGACAAAUGGGGCUAAUCUC
rnacentral:lncRNA from 10 species